UUGUUUGCUUCGUGGACACGAACGGACCAAAUGGGUCGUUGGAGUUGACCGCACUGGCCGUUCCCAAUUCCGGGUCCGCCGUCGCCAGUCGCCACCGCCGCCGACCAUGGCCUCCCCGCCCUCCCCACCGCCGCCGCCCGCUCCCACCACCAUAUUCGAUCUCGGCGACGACCUCCUCCGCGAGAUCUUCCUCCGCCUCCCCGCCCUCCCGACCCUCGUCCGCGCCGCCUGCGCCUGCCGCGCCUUCCGCCGCGCCGCCCGCACGUUCACCUCCUUCCGCCGCAGCUUCCGCGAGCGCCACGCGCCGCCCGUGCUCGCGCUCUUCCUCGAGCCCAACAUGGAGGUCGUCCCGCUCCACCCCUGCCCCUGGCGCCGCCGCGACCCGGACCUCGUCGCCGCCGAUUUCUUUGACGUCCGCCACGGCGACGCCCUCUCCUCCGGGUGGAAGAUCAAUUCCGAGACUCCUAGCUCCGGCGGCUACCUCAUCCUCGACAACUGGAGCGAGGGCGCUCAGCGGGUAGCCGCCUACAGCCCGCUGACGCAGGUCCUAGAUCUGUUCCUCGAUCUGCCGCCGGUGGGAAAGAUCUACCUUGAAUUCUACACGCUCCUCCCCGAAGACGGCCGGAGGCCGUCCCGCGUGGUCUGUGUGCGUGUAGACGGCCAACGGGCGGAGCGCGCCGCCGUCUUCUCAUCGGACACCAUGGAGUGGCAAAUUUUCCCAGAGACUACGCUGCAGCUGACUGUAUCUGACAGGCUCAGGGCCAGCGGAGUGGUGCAUGGGCUCGUUUACUGGAGAGGCUGGAUGCAUGACCAAAUUGUUGUGCUCGAAACCAUGACCUUUCAGUUCUCCCUGAUUGAUCUGCCGGCGCCUUUGAAACCGGAGUUGGGUGAAUCAACAUAUAAGCUUGGUGAGACCAAGGAUGGGAAGCUCUGCAUCGUAGAUAUAAAGGAUAACACCAUUGUUUCUUGGUUCCUGGACAAUGGCAGUGUCCUCAACAGCUGGAUUACGUACAAGAAUUUCCCAUUGCGCCCAAUUGUUAGGGAGCUCACUGGGUGCUCAAUGGAGGAAGAGGAUUAUUGUAAUGUCAAUGUGGACCUUGUGGCAGUUAUCGAUGGCUUUGUCUACCUCUGUAUUUUCUACCUCAAGGACACAGAAUAUCGUGAGCUGUACCUGUCAAUAUGCCUGGAAACAUCAGAUAUGUGCAAGCUCUAUAAUUGUGCAUAUCGGCAUAAUGAGGCGGCCCAUCCCUAUGUCAUGGCAUGGCCUCCCUCUUUGGUACAAAGCAAGGUGAGCCUGUGCUUAUAUGUAAGAGUUUCUUCCAGUGCCUUGUUCAUAGAUAAUAUGCUGUUAUGUAACUUAAAGGCAUUGGAUUAUUGUGUUGUGAAAGGCCACUGCCUGAUUCUUAUCUCAAUUUUAAACAGUAGCAUGUCUGAUUUGCCUAGACCAUAUUAUAAGAAUUUGAUUGCAGGUUUUAUAUUAGUGCACAGAAGGAAUACUUUAAAUUUUAGCAUGCGUAGCAGAUUAUGUGAUAUCUGAACCUCUUGACAGGCCGCUCAAAUGAGGAUGCAAUACUCUAAAUUUUAACAUUAACAUUGGUUUAUCGUGUUCUGAACGGCUGGUAUCGACUCUUAUCUUAAGUUUAAACAUGUUUGAUUUGUAUGAAUCAUGUUACAAAAAUUCGUUUGCAGAUUGUUUGUUAGUAGUACGAUCAUAUUAUACAGUGCUGCACAGAGAACUGAGAUUGCAGAUGGAACUGAGAUGGCAUUGUGGAACAGUAUCAUGUUUCAUCUUCACUACCUUUGUAGUAAGAGCUAAUGAGGAAUCAGAAACUGAAGAUGAUGAUCCCAAGGACACAGAAGAAACUUCCUCUGUCCUCAUCGCUGCACUGCAGUCUUUCAGCCAAGCUUUGAUGAAUGCUGAUAAAGAAAAAGAAAUCGUGGCAGAGUUUGAUGCCUUCUUGCGUCCCGCCAAAGAUGGCAAGGGCUCUCUUAUCAGCAGAAUCGCCACUUUGGAUGUGCAGAUGACGACCGCGAGAAACCGUAUCCUGAGGAUAAGUGAAUG